CCGACGAACGGGGUCAGCCGGCCUGAUACGGGCGACCGGCCAGCACUGAGGUCACUGAGACUGGGCGGGGACUCCUACGGGAGGCAGCAGUGGGGAAUAUUGCACAAUGGGCGCAAGCCUGAUGCAGCGACGCCGCGUGAGGGAUGACGGCCUUCGGGUUGUAAACCUCUUUCAGGUUGGAAGAAGCGAAAGUGACGGUACCUGCAGAAAAAGCGCCGGCUAACUACGUGCCAGCAGCCGCGGUAAUACGUAGGGCGCAAGCGUUGUCCGGAAUUAUUGGGCGUAAAGAGCUCGUAGGCGGCUUGUCGCGUCGGUUGUGAAAGCCCGGGGCUUAACCCCGGGUCUGCAGUCGAUACGGGCAGGCUAGAGUUCGGUAGGGGAGAUCGGAAUUCCUGGUGUAGCGGUGAAAUGCGCAGAUAUCAGGAGGAACACCGGUGGCGAAGGCGGAUCUCUGGGCCGAUACUGACCCUGAGGACCGAAAGCGUGGGGAGCGAACAGGAUUAGAUACCCUGGUAUUCCACCCCGUAAACGGUGGGCACUAGGUGUGGGCAACAUUCCACGUUGUCCGUGCCGCACCUAACGCAUUAAUUGCCCCCCCUGGUGAGUACCGCCGCAAGGCUAAAACUCAAAGGAAUUGACGGGGGCCCGCACAUGCGGCGGACCAUGUGGCUUAAUUCCACGCACCGCGAAAAACCUUACCAAGGCUUGACAUACACCGCAAAGCAUCAAAGAUGGUGCCCCCCUUGUGGUCGCUGUACGUGUUGUGCAUGACUGUCGUCAGCUCGUGUCGUGAGAUUUUGGGUUAAAUCCCG
rnacentral:rRNA from 1 species